rnacentral:tRNA from 1 species
GUUUUGCCACAAGGACUUACAAAACACCCGGACGGACUGAAAAUCCGUGUGUCGCCGGUUCAACUCCGGCCCUGCCCA